UACAGAGGUCUCAAGCGUUGUUCGGAUUCAUUGGGCGUAAAGGGUGCGCAGGCGGCGAGGCAAGUCGGACGUGAAAUCUCGGGGCUUAACCCCGAAACUGCGUUCGAUACUGCCUUGCUUGAGGACUGGAGAGGGAAGUGGAACUCCGGGAGUAGCGGUGAAAUGCGUAGAUACCCGGAGGAACACCAGUGGCGAAGGCGGCUUCCUGGUCUGCGACUGACGCUGUGGCGCGAAAGCUAGGGGAGCAAACGGG
rnacentral:rRNA from 1 species